AUGGAACCCAGAAUCUGCAUUUUAGUGAGCCCUUCAAGUGAUUCAGACACAUACUUAAAUUUGAGACCACUGGUGUAGCCCCUGGUCCCAGGAAGUGAACUGGGGUACAUGCAUUUAUUUACCUGAUCCAAAGAAAAAGAAAGCUUUUGUAUUUGCCUCAGGAAACAGAAAAUGAAGGAUAGUGAAAGGAGAAUGUGUCAGAGAUGAAGAUGAUCAGCAGGAUGCUUAUGACUACGAAAUUCACCAGCGUGUGAAACAGGAGAAUGACUUGCAUUAACUCAGGGAAGAUGAGCAAUGAAUGCAUGAAUGCCUGUCUCUUCUUGUCUCUCUCUGCACUUAUCUGUGCCCUUCUAAAGAAAACUAAAGCCUACAGUAUCCUAGAAUCAACUCUGAUCCAAACAUCGUGAUUUCAAAUCAAGUUUGCGCCUGGCUACUCCUUUCCAAAGAAAGGAAACAUCAUCUGUCCAUGGCACUAGGGCCAUAAGAUGAUAUUUGACAGGGGAUUUCUUUUACAUAUAUAUAGAUCAGAGAUCUGGCUGGAAACCCAAAGAAAUUUCCCUCAGGUACUCUCAUAGGAGGAGCUUCUAUAACAAACAAGAAAAUGCAGUUUUUACAAAGAGAACAACUUUGAUUUCUACACAAAAUUUUACUUCCCACAAGGGCUUCUUAUUGCAGGAGUAGAAGCAAGAGCUCCUCUUUCCAGACUGCUGGGUGGGUACAGGGUUGACUCUAAGUGGGAGUGCCUACACUGGCUCCCAGCAAGGGUGACAAAUACUCAAGGACACAGAGUGUGAGCCUGGCAAUUGGGUAGGGUCCUAACACGCUCAACAUGGCAAAGCCCCUCACCAUAUUACCUUUUUCAGUAAAAUUAUCUAGAAACUCUCAAAGUUACCAAAGAUUUUGUGUUAUCAAAUAACAAUGAAAUCUGCCCCAAAAGGGCUUAAAACCUGUGCAUGAAAGAAAGAGAAGUAAAUGUCAUAUUACCAUUGGCUCUGCGGAAGCAGUAAUGUGCUGUGUAGAGACAGCAGGAAAGAAUCACACAUAACCAUGGUGACAUUUUUCUAAAGAUACUUCACUUAUGGAGGCAAGAAUCAGUACAUGUUCUCUAUUAUUUUGGCUAAGGCAGAAGUUCAGUAUAUGAAUGAUUCAUACUUUUAUUCAAUAACUAUUCCAUAAUUCCAUAAUUUCUACAUUUGGAAAAGACUAUAAAAAUUAAAUUAUACCCAAUUGCUAUAAAAAGUUUCCUCCAAAACAUGGUGUUAAUUGAAUGAUGGUGCAAUUUUUUUCUAGACUUUACCUUCUUAAAUAAUGCUACAGAUUUUUCCCAUAAAAAUAAAAUGUGUUUGAAAAUUGGAGUGGACAUAACACUUUUAAAUUCAGGUCAGAUAACCACUGAUCUGCUCUCCAUUUCUAUAAUCUUGUCACCUCAAGACUGUUAUAUAAAUGGUAUCAUACAGAAUUUAAUCUUUAGGACUUUCAUGAAGCAUAAUUCUCUUACAUUUGGACCAAGAUGUUACACUCUGACACUAGGGAACAAAGGGAAACAUGGGUGAGAAACUAUAUAUAUAACAUACCAAAAAAAAUAGCCACAAGACUGUAAAUGUGGAAAGGAAGACGCAUCCCUCGCUUUUCUUAAUUUGGGGCAGAAAAAAAGAAGGGAGGAGUAUCAAAGGGAAUUUUUAAGGGUAAAUCAGGCUUGCAUUUGUUUAGCGAUAGAAAAGUCAGUAAAGAUGAAGAGAUUAGAGGUCUAAGAAAAAUGAGGAGAUUUUGAGGGAAUAAAUCCCAAAGAAGAAAAGAAUUUGAUGAAAUUCAACAUAUACUCAUGUUUUUAAAAUACUUAAUUGAAUCAGGGAAUGAUGGAUACUUCCUUAAGAUAGGAAAAUAUAUAAAUUUCAGCCAAAAGCCACCAAUUUAGUUUGAAAACACUGGAGUCAAAACCCGAAUGCCUACAGUCUUCAUUAUUAUUUAGGAUAUGUUAAAGAUAUUAGAAAAUACAAUUUUAAUAGGAA